UACAGAGGGUGCAAGCGUUGUCCGGAAUCACUGGGCGUAAAGGGCGCGUAGGUGGCCUGAUAAGUAGGAGGUGAAAUCCUGGGGCUUAACCUCAGGGCUGCCUUCUAGACUGUCAGGCUCGAGCACAGUAGAGGCAGGUGGAAUUCCCGGUGUAGCGGUGGAAUGCGUAGAGAUCGGGAAGAACAUCCGUGGCGAAGGCGACUACCUGGACCAGCACUGACACUGAGGCACGAAAGCGUGGGGAGCAAACAGG
rnacentral:rRNA from 1 species